rnacentral:rRNA from 1 species
UACGUAGGGCGCAAGCGUUUAUCCGGAAUUAUUGGGCGUAAAGAGCUCGUAGGCGGUUUGUCGCGUCUGCCGUGAAAGUCCGGGGCUCAACUCCGGAUCUGCGGUGGGUACGGGCAGACUAGAGUGAUGUAGGGGAGACUGGAAUUCCUGGUGUAGCGGUGAAAUGCGCAGAUAUCAGGAGGAACACCGGUGGCGAAGGCGGGUCUCUGGGCCGAUACUGACGCUGAGGAGCGAAAGCGUGGGGGAGCGAACAGG